rnacentral:lncRNA from 1 species
CAUGAGGAAAUGGAGGGCAGGAGGUUGAAAGAUGAAAGGGAAGCAAAUUUAAGAGUGGUGAUCAAGUAUAUUAUUUUUCUUAAUGUCCUGACUUGUUCUGCCUUACAAUUUGAGGAGGCAGCAUUCGCUCUGAUAGGGAAGACAGAGCAGAAACUGGAGGCAGUUCCUCAUGCUACACAACACCACAUUACACUGCACCACAUUACACUACACCACAUUACACUGCACCACAUUACACUACAGCACAUUACACUGCACCACAUUACACUACACCACAUUACACUGCACCACAUUACACUGUACCACAUUACACUGCACCACAUUACACUGCACCACAUUACACUGCACCACAUUACACUACACCACAUUACACAACACAUCAUUACACUGCACCACAUUACACUGCACCACAU